rnacentral:tRNA from 1 species
GGAGGGGUGGCCGAGCGGUCGAAGGCGCACGCCUGGAAAGCGUGUGUACGGGUAUUCCCCGUACCGAGGGUUCGAAUCCCUCCCCCUCCGCCA